CCUACGGGAGGCUGCAGUGGGGAAUUUUGGACAAUGGGCGAAAGCCUGAUCCAGCAAUGCCGCGUGUGUGAAGAAGGCCUUCGGGUUGUAAAGCACUUUUUCAAGACUUGCGGUACCGGAAGAAUAAGCACCGGCUAACUACGUGCCAGCAGCCGCGGUAAUACGUAGGGUGCGAGCGUUAAUCGGAAUUACUGGGCGUAAAGCGUGCGCAGGCGGUUCGUUAAGACAGAUGUGAAAUCCCCGGGCUUAACCUGGGAACUGCAUUUGUGACUGGCGAGCUAGAGUAUGGCAGAGGGGGGUAGAAUUCCACGUGUAGCAGUGAAAUGCGUAGAGAUGUGGAGGAAUACCGAUGGCGAAGGCAGCCCCCUGGCCAUACUGACGCUCAUGCACGAAAGCGUGGGGAGCAAACAGGAUUAGAUACCCCUGUAGUC
rnacentral:rRNA from 1 species